ACUCUUUCUUCUUCAUCUUUGAUAUGAAAUUCUCUCUUCUUCCUCCCUCAUCUCAACCCAGAAUAUGCCUUUUACAAUCCCUUAAGGUCUCCCAUAAUACCGUUCUUGUUUCAUCAUCAUCAUAAGACUGGUAUCUUGAAGGUAUUUUUCAGGUUUCUUUCUCUUUAUUUUGGGGUAUUUCUUAUUUUCUUAUAUUUUUAGUUGGUGAAUGGUCUCUAUAAUCAUGGACAUAGAGUAUUAUGUUGAUAAUUUCAUCUUAAUUGGAUAUAUAUAAACAAGUAGGAUUUUGAUAUGUAACCCUAGCCUUUUACUGAUUAACAGAACCACUGGGAUUACAACACGUGUCACCAUCCUGCUCUCCAUGAAAACCUAACACUGACUAAGGGGGAUAUUGGCUUGCUGAUCACCGGCCAUGUACUGAUAUAGUAGAUAUGGCUUUGCACUUUUUUAGAUAGCUUGGAAAUUAAGAAAUCCAAGCGCAACCACAUAGCUUAGGGAUCGUUUUCUCCUACUCCUACUGGGUUUAUCAUCUUUUGAAAUUUUUCUAAAAUCUUUAACCUACUAAAGGAACUGUGAGGGCUUGGGAUUAACUACUCGAGAAACUUUCGAUACUAAUCUUUUUGUGUACUUGAUAUCUUAACUUUAAAAGCCUGAUCAAAUACCC
rnacentral:lncRNA from 1 species